AAGUCGAGUCCGGGUUGCAAGCAGUCCGCCUCUGAUUUUGUCCGAGGAAACAGAAGCGAAGGUUUGCUGCUGUCACUGUCGACUCUCUGCAUGCAGCCUAAGGAAAGAGUCUUCCUUCUUCAGAAGACAUUCCAAGCGGCGUUUUAGAUUCCGAAUGCUUUUGGCAUUGGGAAUAUGGUUCUGAGGUCGUGCCUUUUCAAGCGUGCGCUCUCAUCCUCGCCUCAUCUCUAUGGGAGAUUUCCACAAACAGAGAAUGAAAUUGUAAGGAUGUUCCAAAUUCCAAGUCUCAAAGAUAACCUCUCUGACAACUCGCCUGGAAAUCCAAAGCUUUCAAGAAAUGAUCGCUCGAUCCGUGCACUGGAUGAAAGGUUCAUGAGAAUCUUGAAGAUAUUCAAGUGGGGUCCUGAUGCAGAAAAGGCCCUGGAAGUGCUGAUGUUGAAGGUGGAUCAUCGACUUGUUCGCGAGGUCAUGAAGGUCGAUGUUGAAAUUGGUGUGAAAAUCCAGUUCUUCAAGUGGGCCGGAAAGAAGAGGAAUUUUGAGCACAAUUCAACCACUUACAUGGCCUUGAUCCAUUGCCUUGAAGAAGCUGGAUUGAUGGGCGAGAUGUGGAAGACGAUUCAAGACAUGGUUCGUAGCCCGUGCGUCAUCAGCUCUACCGAAUUAUCAGAGAUUGUUAGGGUUUUAGGGAAGGCAAAGAUGGUGAAUAAGGCAUGUUCAAUCUUCUACCAGAUAAAGGCUCGAAAGUGCAAACCGUCUGCAAACACUUACAAUUGCAUGAUAAUGAUGUUGAUGCAAGAGGGUCAUUAUGAGAAGGUCUAUGAACUUUAUAAUGAGAUGUGCAAUGAAAGUAACUGCUUCCCUGACACCAUAACCUACAGUGCACUGAUUGUGGCAUUCGGGAAACUGGGUCGUGAAGAUUCUUCUGUGAGGCUAUUUGAUGAGAUGGAGGAAAAUGGGAUGCAACCAACGGCAAAGAUCUACACCACUUUGAUGGGUAUAUUUUUCAAGUCGGGAAAGAUUGAGAAGGCAUUGGGUUUGUUUCACCAAAUGAAAGAUAAGCAAUGUACCCCAAGUGUUUUUACGUACACGGAGUUGAUUAAAGGGCUCGGUAAAGCUGGAAGAGUUGAAGAGGCUUACGGAAUCUUUCUUGAUAUGCAAAAGGAAGGUUGUAGACCAGAUGUUGUGCUUAUGAACAAUUUAAUCAACAUUUUAGGAAAGGUGGGUCGCUUGGGUGAUGCCCUCAACCUGUUUGAGGAAAUGGGAUCUCUUCAAUGCGUGCCCAAUGUGGUGACAUAUAACAGUGUAAUCAAAGCUCUCUUUGAAUCAAAAUCUCAUGCGUCAGAGGCAGCUCGCUGGUUUGAGAAAAUGAAAGAAAAUGGGAUUGUUCCGAGUGCCUAUACUUACUCCAUUCUCAUUGAUGGUUUUUGCAAGACCAAUAAAGUGGAGAAAGCAUUGGUGCUGCUUGAGGAGAUGGAUGAGAAGGGUUUUCCUCCUUGCCCAGCUGCCUACUGCAGCCUAAUUGAUGCUCUUGGAAAGGCAAAACGUUAUGAAGCUGCAAAUGAAUUGUUUCAGGAACUAAAAGAAAACUGUGGAUCUUCAAGUUCUCGGGUGUAUGCCGUGAUGAUAAGACAUUUUGGUAAAUGUGGGCGUCUUAGUGAUGCUAUGGAUCUUUUUGAUGAAAUGAAGAAACUCAGUUGCAAUCCGGAUGUCUAUGCUUACAACGCUCUCAUGUCUGGGAUGGUGAGAGCUGGAAUGAUAGAUGAAGCUCAUUCCUUGCUUCGAGCAAUGCAAGAACAGGGAUGUGCCCCAGAUAUAAAUUCCCAUAACAUUAUCUUGAACGGAUUGGCAAGGGUGGGUGGCCCAAUACGGGCCAUGGAGAUGCUCUCAAAAAUGAAGCACUUGAAGACUAAACCGGAUGCUGUCUCUUAUAACACAGUUCUUGGCGCUCUCAGCCGUGCUGGUAUGUUUGAAGAGGCUGCCAAGCUGAUGAAAGAGAUGAGCCUAAAUGGAUUUGAAUAUGACCUCAUCACCUACUCAUCAAUACUUGAGGCUGUAGGAAAGAUUGAUGAGGACCACAUACAAUCAGUUCAGUAAGGGAAACCCGGUUGAGUGGUACAUGACGAUCACAUAAAGUUCCAGUCACAUCUCCAUCCUCCUACCCGAAAACAACAACAACAACAACAAAACCAUUUGUCUACUUCCAAUGCUAUUGAAUGGACAGUGAGCCUACUUUGAGAUCUUUCUGAACUUGCAAAGCCUUUGUUAUGGAUUAGAGGUGUUGCAAACCAGAUUCGAAAUGGACUGGAGAUUGAUUCACAGCCUAAGUGUCAAACAUGAUCUGUUGUAAUAUCUUUCAAGCAGGACCAGCAAUCUGUCAGAGGGAGUACAUUUUGCUUUCGCAUUGUAUGGCUUGCAGUUCCUCAAGUUACACCCAGGAAGCGUUUUAUCACUGGAGGUAUCUAGCAUAAUGUACCCCAUAUCUCAGCAUCUCUCAGCUUGUCAAGGGCGUUACGCGCAUGGCUUUUCGGCUGUGGAACUGCAGUCAUGGCUUCCAAAGGCUUUCUGAAUGGCAUUCUGACAAGCAUUUGGUUUUGUUCUUCUUCAGCUAUAACAGGCAGCUUGGGACAGUGACAUGGUGCCAAUCCAACGAUCGACAGAUAGGGCUUCCCGCAAGGGGGGAUCCAAUUUUUAAACCAGCCUAAAGAGUUGGACUUGACAGUGGUUGUAUCUAAAUUGUGAUGAUGGGUUUAACCACAUUAGCAGCAUGUAAAUGGAACUCUUGAUCGGAUUGUGAGAUGAGGAGAUGUACAGAUUUUUUUUCCACUUAAAAGAGGCCGGCAUGACGUUCAGAUAUUGUAGUUAAAUGCUAGAGGUCAUUGUCCUGGCAAAUAGCUCUGCUGAGGUGUUGUUCCGUCGCCCAACUCGAAUGCUGGGCUCGGAUCUUUCCCUGGGAAGAUGUAUGGUCUCUGUCAUCUCUCCUUUAUAGAUCAAAAUUCUGAAAUUAGUCAAAGAAAGAAGAAGCAUCAGCCAGUCCCUCAUGCCUCCGAUUUGGGAAUGUCUUUGAAGUGACUGAACUUUAUGUUGAUCUGUCAGCAGAAAAAAUGAUGAAAUUUGCAAAUUUGAACUCUACAAUGAUAUGUCAGUAGAAAUUUUGAUGAAAUUUACAAAUGUAUCCAUUUGAAA